rnacentral:rRNA from 1 species
UACGUAGGGGGCAAGCGUUAUCCAGAUUUACUGGGUGUAAAGGGAGCGUAGACGGAGCGGCAAGUCUGAUGUGAAAGGCGGGGGCUCAACCCCCGGACUGCAUUGGAAACUGUCAAUCUGGAGUGCCGGAGAGGUAAGCGGAAUUCCUAGUGUAGCGGUGAAAUGCGUAGAUAUUAGGAGGAACACCAGUGGCGAAGGCGGCUUACUGGACGGUAACUGACGUUGAGGCUCGAAAGCGUGGGGAGCAAAC